rnacentral:rRNA from 1 species
UACGAAGGGGGCUAGCGUUGCUCGGAAUCACUGGGCGUAAAGGGUGCGUAGGCGGGUCUUUAAGUCAGGGGUGAAAUCCUGGAGCCUCAACUCCAGAACUGCCUUUGAUACUGAGGAUCUUGAGUUCGGGAGAGGUGAGUGGAACUGCGAGUGUAGAGGUGAAAUUCGUAGAUAUUCGCAAGAACACCAGUGGCGAAGGCGGCUCACUGGCCCGAUACUGACGCUGAGGCACGAAAGCGUGGGGAGCAAACAGG